rnacentral:rRNA from 1 species
AUUGAACGCUGGCGGCAUGCCUUACACAUGCAAGUCGAACGGCAGCAUGAUCUAGCUUGCUAGAUUGAUGGCGAGUGGCGAACGGGUGAGUAAUACAUCGGAACGUGCCCUGUAGUGGGGGAUAACUAGUCGAAAGAUUAGCUAAUACCGCAUACGACCUGAGGGUGAAAGUGGGGGACCGCAAGGCCUCAUGCUAUAGGAGCGGCCGAUGUCUGAUUAGCUAGUUGGUGAGGUAAAGGCUCACCAAGGCGACGAUCAGUAGCUGGUCUGAGAGGACGAUCAGCCACACUGGGACUGAGACACGGCCCAGACUCCUAAGGGAGGCAGCAGUGGGGAAUUUUGGACAAUGGGCGAAAGCCUGAUCCAGCAAUGCCGCGUGUGUGAAGAAGGCCUUCGGGUUGUAAAGCACUUUUGUCCGGAAAGAAAUGGCUCUGGUUAAUACCUGGGGUCGAUGACGGUACCGGAAGAAUAAGGACCGGCUAACUACGUG